UUCACAAUAUCCCUCUGGCAGUGAGGUUUUAAAGGAUAGAGGGGAGCGUAGAGGGGAGCGUGCAUUUGCAGUGGCUGGGCCACGACUCUGGAAUACCCUGCCUUUAGAGAUCAGACUGGCCCCUUCCUUGUCUAUUUUUAAAUCUUUGCUAAAAACUUUUUUAUUUUCCUUAGUGUACUGACUACUGUGUUAUGCUACAUUUUGAAAUGGGUGGUUUUAAAUUUUUUGUCUGGUCUAUUUUUAUGUAUGUGUAAUAUUCUUGCUCUUAUGUUAAAGCACUUUGGUCAGCCAGGAGGCUGUUGUAAAUGCGCUAUACAAAUAAAUUGAACUUGAACUUGAACUUGAACUUGAUAUGGCAGUUAAAGGGUUAAUCCGAAUCAUCUAGACUUUAAAAUCACAUUCACAGAACAAUAUAUAUAUAUAUAUAUAUAUAUAACUUUAGUAACACUUUACAAUAAGAUUUCAUUUAUAAACAUUAUGUUAACAUGAACAAUAUUUAUAUAGCAUUCAUUCAUGUCAGUUAAUAUUCCAAACUUAAACAUUAAAACAUUGUUUUAUUGUGAUUUUUUUCCAAGCACAUUUUACCAAUUCCAAACCAUAUCAAUCUUAAUAACUACCAUUAUUUUUUAUUUAAUCAUUUAUGAGUGCUAUACAAUAGUCCAGGAAAGCUGGAAGAGAAAAACAGGUCAAGAAGAACUGACAAAAAGAAUUACAAAAUAAUUAGGAAUUAAUGUGAAGAUUAAUUUUUAGUCAAUUCUGCAAGACAGACUUUCAGGAAAGGAGGUGGAAUAAAAAUGAGCUCCUAAAUCUUAAUCCCAGAUUCUGGAAGAUAUAUUCCUCAAACCAUCGGACAAGAGGAGGUGGUGCUGGUCCUUCACGAGUCACUCUAAUCUGUUCAUUAAGCCUAUAUAUAAAGUCUUAAUAUAUAGUAUUUCACAAUACUUCAUGGUAUUCUAAUUAAAUCAUUUUUUGGAAUCUUAAGUCUCUCAGAGCCUGACACCGAGUAAUUCUGGAGACUCCAGGAAAGUGGCAGUUCUGUAAAAUGUUGGCGCUGGAGACUAAAUGCACCCUGAUAGAUUCACACCUAAUUCACUUAACACACACACACACACAUUACCCACAGUGACAGUGGAACUGAGUGACAUCAGAUGUAUGAUAGUUUUUUAAUUUUCUAUCAUCCAUAUAGUGUUGUAUAGUCAUGAAACUAUGGUCAUGAGACCAGUCAUUCUGAGGAAAUAUGCCUCAGAAUGACUGGUCUUCUAUGUGUACAUUUUUUUGAAGUGUUUAGAAGCUGCACUUUAAAAAAAUAAAAAGACAUUUACUGGUU